rnacentral:tRNA from 1 species
GGGAAUGUGGCUUAGUGGUAAAGUGCUUGCCUUACAUGCACGAAGGCCUGGGUUUCAUUCCUC